rnacentral:rRNA from 1 species
GUGAGGAAUAUUGGUCAAUGGGCGAGAGCCUGAACCAGCCAAGUCGCGUGAAGGAAGACGGCCCUACGGGUUGUAAACUUCUUUUGCAAUGGAAUAAAAAGAGUUACGUGUAAUUCAUUGUAUGUACAUUGCGAAUAAGGAUCGGCUAACUCCGUGCCAGCAGCCGCGGUAAUACGGAGGAUCCGAGCGUUAUCCGGAUUUAUUGGGUUUAAAGGGUGCGUAGGCGGAUUGGAAAGUCAGCGGUGAAAGUUUGCAGCUUAACUGUAAAAUUGCCAGUGAAACUGUCAGUCUUGAGUGCAAAUGAGGUAGGCGGAAUGUGUUGUGUAGCGGUGAAAUGCAUAGAUAUAACACAGAACACCAAUUGCGAAGGCAGCUUACUGGGAUGCAACUGACGCUGAGGCACGAAAGCGUGGGGAUCAAACAGGAUUAGAUACCCGAGUAGUCC